rnacentral:rRNA from 1 species
GACGAACGCUGGCGGCGUGCUUAACACAUGCAAGUCGAACGGAAAGGCCCUGCUUGCAGGGUACUCGAGUGGCGAACGGGUGAGUAACACGUGGGUGAUCUGCCCUGCACUUCGGGAUAAGCCUGGGAAACUGGGUCUAAUACCGGAUAGGAGCCAUUUUUAGUGUGAUGGUUGGAAAGUUUUUUCGGUGUAGGAUGAGCUCGCGGCCUAUCAGCUUGUUGGUGGGGUAAUGGCCUACCAGGCGGCGACGGGUAGCCGGCCUGAGAGGGUGGACGGCCACAUUGGGACUGAGAUACGGCCCAGACUCCUACGGGAGGCAGCAGUGGGGAAUAUUGCACAAUGGGCGCAAGCCUGAUGCAGCGACGCCGCGUGGGGGAUGACGGCCUUCGGGUUGUAAACUCCUUUCGCUAGGGACGAAGCUUUUUGUGACGGUACCUAGAUAAGAAGCACCGGCUAACUACGUG